CUCCCAACCCAUCCACAUUGUGUCCCAUAACACUGCUUGCCCCUUGCUCAGCGUUCCCAGGGCUCAUCUGGGGCUCAAAGCACAACAUCAGGCCAGUUCCACCCUUGCAGUACUGUCCAUUAUAAAACCUGACGACACGAUACGGACAGUCCUGAAAGCUAAAACCAAGUUGUGUUACUUUUUAAAUAGAUACCACACAGAGCCUCGUCCAGCCUUGCGUUAUCAUCAAUUCACUUCAACACAGGAACAUUUCAAAACAGGGAAAACUAAUUGACAGCCUGAAGGUUAAAUCCGGCUCCACAAGAUGGUUUUACUUGGAUCCCACGAUGGCCUAGAGCAACACUACACAUCAGGCUUUUAAACAGCAACAGCAAAACUAAGGAGAACUUUGGUAUCAAUUCACUAUAUUGGUUGGAUUCAGUAGCAUGAUUUAAACAUCUGUCUCAGGCUCAUGCU